UCAACCGACACGGGGGCUGGCCCUGCGCCUGUUGCGUUAUAGCGACUCAUAUGCUGCAGUACAGCGGUAUAUUCGACGACUUGCGUAACUGGCAUGCGGAACGCCGGCUGAGAAGGGAAUGGUUCCCUGACCGAUUGAACGUGAAUCCGGAUAAUGCCGGCGCACGGACGUCGUUAUCGCCCGUG
rnacentral:ncRNA from 23 species